GUACUCACUGGCAGGGAGGAUGCCAUGACUAUGAAGGCGGUUUUCCAGGGUGGGCUGAUCCAUUGCACUCUGACCCCUGCGAUUUCCCCAAAUGUGGGAAACUCGACUGCAUAAUUGGUGGUAGUGGGACCACACUGGCACUUUCUCCUA
rnacentral:snRNA from 1 species